UACGUAGGGUGCAAGCGUUGUCCGGAAUUAUUGGGCGUAAAGAGCGUGUAGGCGGCCCGAUUAGUCCGCUGUGAAAGUCCAGGGCUCAACCCUGGAAUGCCGGUGGAUACUGUCGGGCUAGAGUCCGGAAGGGGCGAGUGGAAUUCCUGGUGUAGCGGUGAAAUGCGCAGAUAUCAGGAGGAACACCUGUGGCGAAAGCGGCUCACUGGACCAUAACUGACGCUGAUGCACGAAAGCUAGGGGAGCAAACAGG
rnacentral:rRNA from 1 species